UGGGGAAUCUUGCACAAUGGGCGAAAGCCUGAUGCAGCAACGCCGCGUGCGGGAAGAAGGCCCUCGGGUUGUAAACCGCUUUCAGAAGGAACGAAACUGACGGUACUUUCAGAAGAAGGUGCGGCCAACUACGUGCCAGCAGCCGCGGUGACACGUAGGCACCAAGCGUUGUCCGGAUUUAUUGGGCGUAAAGAGCUCGUAGGCGGUUCAGUAAGUCGGGUGUGAAAACUUUGGGCUUAACCCAAAGCGUGCAUCCGAUACUGCUGUGACUUGAGUACGGUAGGGGAGCGUGGAAUUCCUAGUGUAGCGGUGAAAUGCGCAGAUAUUAGGAGGAACACCGGUGGCGAAGGCGCCGCUCUGGGCCGAAACUGACGCUGAGGAGCGAAAGCAUGGGUAGCAAACAGGAUUAGAUACCCACGUAGUCCCUGAGCGGGCUGGCAAGGCGCAU
rnacentral:rRNA from 1 species